rnacentral:pre_miRNA from 1 species
UCUUCAUUUCACGUGCUCUCUCACCGGUCAGAAAGACGAGAGAGAGCUCGUGAAAUGAGGAGA